rnacentral:rRNA from 1 species
CCUACGGGUGGCAGCAGUGAGGAAUAUUGGUCAAUGGCCGAGAGGCUGAACCAGCCAAGUCGCGUGAGGGAUGACGGCCCUACGGGUUGUAAACCUCUUUUGCCGGGGAGCAAAGAGCGGGACGCGUCCCGCCUCGAGAGUACCCGGAGAAAAAGCAUCGGCUAACUCCGUGCCAGCAGCCGCGGUAAUACGGAGGAUGCGAGCGUUAUCCGGAUUUAUUGGGUUUAAAGGGUGCGCAGGCGGAGGUGCAAGUCAGCGGUCAAAUUGCGGGGCUCAACCCCGUACUGCCGUUGAAACUGCAUCCCUUGAGUGCGCGAGAAGUAUGCGGAAUGCGUGGUGUAGCGGUGAAAUGCAUAGAUAUCACGCAGAACUCCGAUUGCGAAGGCAGCAUACCGGCGCGCAACUGACGCUCAUGCACGAAAGCGUGGGUAUCGAACAGGAUUAGAUACCCCAGUAGUC